rnacentral:rRNA from 1 species
CACACUGUAAACGAUGAAUACUCGCUGUUUGCGAUAUACGGCAAGCGGCCAAGCGAAAGCGUUAAGUAUUCCACCUGGGGAGUACGCCGGCAACGGUGAAACUCAAAGGAAUUGACGGGG